rnacentral:rRNA from 1 species
GACGAACGCUGGCGGCGUGCCUAAUACAUGCAAGUUGAGCGAUGAAGAUUGGUGCUUGCACCAAUUUGAAGAGCAGCGAACGGGUGAGUAACGCGUGGGGAAUCUGCCUUUGAGCGGGGGACAACAUUUGGAAACGAAUGCUAAUACCGCAUAACAACUUUAAACAUAAGUUUUAAGUUUGAAAGAUGCAAUUGCAUCACUCAAAGAUGAUCCCGCGUUGUAUUAGCUAGUUGGUGAGGUAAAGGCUCACCAAGGCGAUGAUACAUAGCCGACCUGAGAGGGUGAUCGGCCACAUCGGGACUGAGACACGGCCCAAACUCCUACGGGAGGCAGCAGUAGGGAAUCUUCGGCAAUGGACGAAAGUCUGACCGAGCAACGCCGCGUGAGUGAAGAAGGUUUUCGGAUCGUAAAACUCUGUUGGUAGAGAAGAACGUUGGUGAGAGUGGAAAGCUCAUCAAGUGACGGUAACUACCCAGAAAGGGACGGCUAACUACGUGCCAGCAGCCGCGGUAAUACGUAGGUCCCGAGCGUUGUCCGGAUUUAUUGGGCGUAAAGCGAGCGCAGGUGGUUUAUUAAGUCUGGUGUAAAAGGCAGUGGCUCAACCAUUGUAUGCAUUGGAAACUGGUAGACUUGAGUGCAGGAGAGGAGAGUGGAAUUCCAUGUGUAGCGGUGAAAUGCGUAGAUAUAUGGAGGAACACCGGUGGCGAAAGCGGCUCUCUGGCCUGUAACUGACACUGAGGCUCGAAAGCGUGGGGAGCAAACAGGAUUAGAUACCCUGGUAGUCCACGCCG